UAAGACGAACCAUGCAAACGUUAUUCGGAUUCACUGGGCUUAAAGCGUGCGUAGGCGGUCUUGUUAGUCAGGUGUGAAAGCCCUCAGCUCAACUGAGGAAUUGCGCUUGAUACUGCAUGACUAGAGAAUGAUAGAGGUGGGUGGAACUGAUGGUGGAGCGGUGAAAUGCGUUGAUAUCAUCAGGAACACCAGUGGCGAAGGCGACCCACUGGGUCAUUUCUGACGCUGAGGUACGAAAGCUAGGGUAGCGAACGGGAUUAGAUACCCCGGUAGUCCUAGCCGUAAACGAUGAGCACUAGGUCGAGGGCCUCCACAGGCUCUUGGCCGUAGCGAAAGUGUUAAGUGCUCCGCCUGGGGAGUAUGGUCGCAAGGCUG
rnacentral:rRNA from 1 species